CCUAGGAGGAAUCAGGGACUGUUAGCAGCUUAGGAUUGAGGAGUUGGAAGAGACCUUUAGAACAGCUGGUCAUUAUGCUCACCGGCUGUCCACACUAAGUUGGGCAUCAAUAUAGUGACUUCCUGGGAGCAGGGGACUACCAGGUUGCCUAAGGAUGGGUGGACUGGCCCAGGUCAGAAAUGGCACAGGUUAGAACUCCUGUGCUGAUGGGUAGUGGGGCUGCACCUGGGCAACAUAGCGAGACCGUGGCUCUUCAAA
ensembl:misc_RNA Metazoa_SRP Metazoan signal recognition particle RNA